GACGAACGCUGGCGGCGUGCUUAACACAUGCAAGUCGAACGGAAAGGCCCUGCUUUUGUGGGGUGCUCGAGUGGCGAACGGGUGAGUAACAUGUGAGUAACCUGCCCUUGACUUUGGGAUAACUUCAGGAAACUGGGGCUAAUACCGGAUAGGAGCUCCUGCUGCAGGGUGGGGGUCGGAACGUUUCGGCGGUUGGGGAUGGACUCGCGGCUUAUCAGCUGGUUGGUGGGGUAGUGGCUUACCAAGGCUUUGACGGGUAGCCGGCCUGAGAGGGUGACCGCCCACCUUGGGACUGAGAUACGGCGCAGACUCCUACAGGAGGCAGCAGGGGGGAAUAUUGCACAAUGGGCGGAAGCGUGAUGCGGCAGCGCCGCGUGCGGGAUGACGGCCUUCGUGUUGUAAACCGCAUUCGCCUGUGACGAAGCGUGAGUGACGGUAAUGAGUAAAGAAGCACCGGCUAACUACGUG
rnacentral:rRNA from 1 species